rnacentral:rRNA from 1 species
UACGUAGGGCGCAAGCGUUAUCCGGAAUUAUUGGGCGUAAAGAGCUCGUAGGCGGUUUGUCGCGUCUGCCGUGAAAGUCCGGGGCUCAACUCCGGGCCUGCAGUCGAUACGGGCGGACUCGAGUUCGGCAGGGGAGACUGGAAUUCCUGGUGUAGCGGUGAAAUGCGCAGAUAUCAGGAGGAACACCGGUGGCGAAGGCGAUCACCUGGGGUUGUUCUGACGCUGAGGUGCGAAAGCGUGGGGAGCAACAGG